rnacentral:lncRNA from 1 species
AAGCUGCACCUAGGAAAAAGGGAACAGCUGCUUCUGCUUGAGGGUAUUUCAGGAUUCAGAUUUGGAUUUUAUGUUAAAGUGUACUUCUAUUGGUAUUUUAAAUCAUUAAGGGAACAAUUGAAUUUUCUAGAACAUCAUUUGAAGCGUUUUUGCCUUUCGGAUCCUUAUUGAUGUUAAUUUUGUUUGGAUACAUGAGUUUGCAUUUUAAUUCUUACAGACAGGAGAUUGACGUAAGUUGGAAUGCUUAUUUUUAAUUGUGCGCUAAUCUUAUUUACUCUUAUGCGUAAGUUCAUGUCUUGACAUACUAAUCAUAGCUAACAUUUUAGAGGCCGACAGGUGCCUGUUUCUCUGAAAUUAUUAUUGAGUAAUCUGGACUAUCUUUUUCUGUUUUUUCUAUGGUUCAUUAUAUUUGAAGAAGUACCUUGCUUGCAUGUUUAACUCUGAACUUUUAUGUAUGCAUUUCCUGUGGGUCAUUAUUUUGCGAUAAUGAUAAUAGUUGUCUUGUUUGUGCUGAUUGUACUUCUGUAGACUUGAGAUGAUGAAAGCUCCUCGACUGUGAGAAUUGAUAGAAGUUUGGAGGGAGGGGGUGUGCGUAAGGUGAAGUGUUAUUUAGAUUUUACAAAUUGUCUCCUGUAUUCCAAAAUUGUCUCAAAAUGUUGUAGAAUAAUAAUGGGCAAGCCCAACCCUAAAGCCCAUAUACAACACUGCCAUUUUUCUCUUCAUAUAUAUAGUCACUCUUACGACACCAAACGCAUUUUUCUCAUUUCGAAGCUCAGCGGCCGAAACUAGGGUUUUUGCAACUUUGCAGCCAUGGUAACCAAUUAUUCUCUUUCUAUAUCUAUAUGUAUGUCCAGAUUAUAAUCCUGAUCUCGUCUAUGUUCAUUUGGCCUGAAUGCUUGCAUUUGUAUGUGUGUAGGGGAAGGGAACAGGGAGCUUUGGCAAGAGGAGAAACAAGACACACACGCUGUGUGUGAGGUGCGGCCGGCGAAGCUUCCACAUCCAGAAGAGCCGCUGCUCUGCCUGUGCCUAUCCUGCUGCCCGCAAGAGGACAUGUACGUGUUUCAUUUUACAAUUCUCAAAUUCGCAUAUAUCAAUCUGUUUUUAAAUUUUAAACUUUUUUGUUGAUUUAUUUUUUGUAUGAUACGAUAUUUCAGACAACUGGAGUGUGAAGGCCAUAAGGAGAAAGACUACUGGAACUGGACGCAUGAGGUAUCUCCGCCACGUGCCGCGCAGAUUCAAGACCAACUUCAGAGAAGGUAUAAGCUUGGUAGUUUGCGCUUUGAUUUUUGAAGUUCCGUAAUUUUGUGUCUGGUAAUUAAUUUGAAAUUGUGAUGGUUGGUUUAGGCACUCAAGCUGCACCUAGGAAAAAGGGAACAGCUGCUUCUGCUUGAGGGUAUUUCAGGAUUCAGAUUUGGAUCUUAUGUUAAAGUGUACUUCUAUUGGUAUUUUAAAUCAUUAAGGGAACAAUUGAAUUUUCUAGAACAUCAUUUGAAGCGUUUUUGCCUUUCGGAUCCUUAUUGAUGUUAAUUUUGUUUGGAUACAUGAGUUUGCAUUUUAAUUCUUACAGACAGGAGAUUGACGUAAGUUGGAAUGCUUAUUUUUAAUUGUGCGCUAAUCUUAUUUACUCUUAUGCGUAAGUUCAUGUCUUGACAUACUAAUCAUAGCUAACAUUUUAGAGGCCGACAGGUGCCUGUUUCUCUGAAAUUAUUAUUGAGUAAUCUGGACUAUCUUUUUCUGUUUUUUCUAUGGUUCAUUAUAUUUGAAGAAGUACCUUGCUUGCAUGUUUAACUCUGAACUUUUAUGUAUGCAUUUCCUGUGGGUCAUUAUUUUGCGAUAAUGAUAAUAGUUGUCUUGUUUGUGCUGAUUGUACUUCUGUAGACUUGAGAUGAUGAAAGCUCCUCGACUGUGAGAAUUGAUAGAAGUUUGGAGGGAGGGGGUGUGCGUAAGGUGAAGUGUUAUUUAGAUUUUACAAAUUGUCUCCUGUAUUCCAAAAUUGUCUCAAAAUGUUGUAGAAUAAUACCACAUAUACCGUAACUUUCUGAGUAUACCAUUACAGAUUUGUUGAUUAGAGGGUUAUGUGUGGGCUUUUGUCCUUUAAGAUCCUUAGAAAAGGUUCUUAACUGCCAAGUUCUGAAGUCCAUCUCCAUGUUUUAGGUCAUUUAACAUGAUAGCAAUUCAGGGCAUUAGAAUACGUAUUGAAGAUUUGCUCUGGCUACAUCUUGUGAUUCUGGGUCCUGGUGACCUUUUAAUGCUAAGAGAUGGGCGAAUGACUAUUUAGAUUUGGUAUGCUGACUAGCUAAAUAUACUUUAUUACCUGUGGAAGGGUUUUGUGAGCCUGUAAAUUCUUAUAAGUUGUUGUUGAAUGAUGAAGUUGGAGUUCUGCACAGCCUUGACAUACCUCUUUGAUGCAUAUACUCUUCGUAUGAAAGAUUUCAAGAGGGUUUUCUGUCUUUGGGGUUAGUUAUAUCAAGAUUUCAAUUCCGUUUGACUCAUCUUUUUGCUCUCAUGAAAUGACGGAGAUCUCUAACCCUCAACCACAUAAAACCCCAUGAAAUCUUUCAUAUGAAGAGUCUGCAUCAAUUCCAUGUGACCUGCUUUCUGCUGAGUAGUUUCUUAGAAAAAAUAAAACUAAAAAAUUCCAUCUUCUUGCAAGCUGAGGGAAAUAACUUAUGUUGACCAAUAGUUGUUAUGCCUACAUAUUCUGGGACAUAAACUCGUGUGCAAUUUUUUUCAUUUUAUUUCCUAGUUUUAGUGAGGGGCCAAUGGGACAAUAGUUGAGCUACUUAUGUGCUCGUCGUGUUGCUCUCUAUUUAACCGAAGUGGAUAAUAGUUUUAUGUGCAACUUGUGUUACUACCACGUAAAUGAAGUGGACUAGUGACAGGCAAGAGGUGACCUGGGAGUGGUGCAGGGAGGGCGCUGGACGGAAAGAGGCAAAGGUGGGGGAGAGAUGAGAGGGGUAAUAUUGGGCUGGAAAGAUGUAGUGUCUGUAAAGUGGGCUGGGUCGGGUCGUCCAGUGUAAUUUGGGGCAUAUACUGGAUCUGGGUUCUGUCAGACUGGGCUAGGCCAUCGGGGAUUUACAGAAUAUUACCCUCUGGGUUCUUGACUGGACAGAGCCUAUGGGGCAAGCCCAACCCUAAAGCCCAUAUACAACACUGCCAUUUUUCUCUUCAUAUAUAUAGUCAAUGGUGCAGGGAGGGCGCUGGACGGAAAGAGGCAAAGGUGGGGGAGAGAUGAGAGGGGUAAUAUUGGGCUGGAAAGAUGUAGUGUGUCACUCGCUAGCUCCUUUAUGUCAUUUUUCUUUUGAACAAAUUUUUAGAUGGGAUAGAGAAUGUUCAUUUUCUGCUGUGUCACUCACUGGCUCUAUGAUGUCAUUUUUCUUUUGAACAAAUUUUUAGAUGGGAUAGAGAAUGUUCAUUUUCUACUUUAUUAAAGGUUUAGACUCUUACGACACCAAACGCAUUUUUCUCAUUUCGAAGCUCAGCGGCCGAAACUAGGGUUUUUGCAACUUUGCAGCCAUGGUAACCAAUUAUUCUCUUUCUAUAUCUAUAUGUAUGUCCAGAUUAUAAUCCUGAUCUCGUCUAUGUUCAUUUGGCCUGAAUGCUUGCAUUUGUAUGUGUGUAGGGGAAGGGAACAGGGAGCUUUGGCAAGAGGAGAAACAAGACACACACGCUGUGUGUGAGGUGCGGCCGGCGAAGCUUCCACAUCCAGAAGAGCCGCUGCUCUGCCUGUGCCUAUCCUGCUGCCCGCAAGAGGACAUGUACGUGUUUCAUUUUACAAUUCUCAAAUUCGCAUAUAUCAAUCUGUUUUUAAAUUUUAAACUUUUUUGUUGAUUUAUUUUUUGUAUGAUACGAUAUUUCAGACAACUGGAGUGUGAAGGCCAUAAGGAGAAAGACUACUGGAACUGGACGCAUGAGGUAUCUCCGCCACGUGCCGCGCAGAUUCAAGACCAACUUCAGAGAAGGUAUAAGCUUGGUAGUUUGCGCUUUGAUUUUUGAAGUUCCGUAAUUUUGUGUCUGGUAAUUAAUUUGAAAUUGUGAUGGUUGGUUUAGGCACUCAAGCUGCACCUAGGAAAAAGGGAACAGCUGCUUCUGCUUGAGGGUAUUUCAGGAUUCAGAUUUGGAUCUUAUGUUAAAGUGUACUUCUAUUGGUAUUUUAAAUCAUUAAGGGAACAAUUGAAUUUUCUAGAACAUCGUUUGAAGCGUUUUUGCCUUUAUUUCUGUUUUUUCUAUGGUUCAUUAUAUUUGAAGAAGUACCUUGCUUGCAUGUUUAACUCUGAACUUUUAUGUAUGCAUUUCCUGUGGGUCAUUAUUUUGCGAUAAUGAUAAUAGUUGUCUUGUUUGUGCUGAUUGUACUUCUGUAGACUUGAGAUGAUGAAAGCUCCUCGACUGUGAGAAUUGAUAGAAGUUUGGAGGGAGGGGGUGUGCGUAAGGUGAAGUGUUAUUUAGAUUUUACAAAUUGUCUCCUGUAUUCCAAAAUUGUCUCAAAAUGUUGUAGAAUAAUACCACAUAUACCGUAACUUUCUGAGUAUACCAUUACAGAUUUGUUGAUUAGAGGGUUAUGUGUGGGCUUUUGUCCUUUAAGAUCCUUAGAAAAGGUUCUUAACUGCCAAGUUCUGAAGUCCAUCUCCAUGUUUUAGGUCAUUUAACACGAUAGCAAUUCAGGGCAUUAGAAUACGUAUUGAAGAUUUGCUCUGGCUACAUCUUGUGAUUCUGGGUCCUGGUGACCUUUUAAUGCUAAGAGAUGGGCGAAUGACUAUUUAGAUUUGGUAUGCUGACUGGCUAAAUAUACUUUAUUACCUGUGGAAGGGUUUUGUGAGCCUGUAAAUUCUUAUAAGUUGUUGUUGAAUGAUGAAGUUGGAGUUCUGCACAGCCUUGACAUACCUCUUUGAUGCAUAUACUCUUCGUAUGAAAGAUUUCAAGAGGGUUUUGUCUUUGGGGUUAGUUAUAUCAAGAUUUCAAUUCCGUUUGACUCAUCUUUUUGCUCUCAUGAAAUGACGGAGAUCUCUAACCCUCAACCACAUAAAACCCCAUGAAAUCUUUCAUAUGAAGAGUCUGCAUCAAUUCCAUGUGACCUGCUUUCUGCUGAGUAGUUUCUUAGAAAAAAUAAAACUAAAAAAUUCCAUCUUCUUGCAAGCUGAGGGAAAUAACUUAUGUUGACCAAUAGUUGUUAUGCCUACAUAUUCUGGGACAUAAACUCGUGUGCAAUUUUUUUCAUUUUAUUUCCUAGUUUUAGUGAGGGGCCAAUGGGACAAUAGUUGAGCUACUUAUGUGCUCGUCGUGUUGCUCUCUAUUUAACCGAAGUGGAUAAUAGUUUUAUGUGCAACUUGUGUUACUACCACGUAAAUGAAGUGGACUAGUGACAGGCAAGAGGUGACCUGGGAGUGGUGCAGGGAGGGCGCUGGACGGAAAGAGGCAAAGGUGGGGGAGAGAUGAGAGGGGUAAUAUUGGGCUGGAAAGAUGUAGUGUCACUCGCUAGCUCCUUUAUGUCAUUUUUCUUUUGAACAAAUUUUUAGAUGGGAUAGAGAAUGUUCAUUUUCUGCUGUGUCACUCACUGGCUCUAUGAUGUCAUUUUUCUUUUGAACAAAUUUUUAGAUGGGAUAGAGAAUGUUCAUUUUCUACUUUAUUAAAGGUUUAGACCACAUGCUACUCCAAUAAUGGUAUUUCGUUUUGAGGUAAUAAUGAGCACUUGACAAUUUGGAGGGUUAAAGAAUGUUUACUUUUGGUCGUGUAGGGGAAAAAAAUUAAAGAAAAAAGGAAAACAAUCUUGGUAGGAGCUAUGUGCUUGCCUGAUAAAAAUUUGUUAGAAUUUUAAUAAAUGUUGGAGAUCUGAUUAAUAGAAAAGUGAAAAUCAUUCUUUAGGUCGAAAUUCAUGGUAAAAUUACGCUAGAAUUUCAAUAGGUUGUAGACUUCAUUAACGCUUUUUAGUUCCAGAAAAAUCACUUUCCACACGCCCCGUCAGCCCCAAUUUCAUACAUUAUUUUACAUAUUAUGAGUUUUCAAUACAUUAUGUUUUCGUUGUGCCCAAAUGCUCCCCUUUUUAUUUUUUAUUCAUUGAUGUUGACAUCCGAUACGUUCGGACACCAGAUAUCUUGAGAUUAGAUCAAGGUCGCCAUAAUUAAUGGAAACAUAGUUUUGAUUAAAUCUCGGUUGGUUUAGGCACUCAAGCUGCACCUAGGAAAAAGGGAACAGCUGCUUCUGCUUGAGGGUAUUUCAGGAUUCAGAUUUGGAUCUUAUGUUAAAGUGUACUUCUAUUGGUAUUUUAAAUCAUUAAGGGAACAAUUGAAUUUUCUAGAACAUCGUUUGAAGCGUUUUUGCCUUUCGGAUCCUUAUUGAUGUUAAUUUUGUUUGGAUACAUGAGUUUGCAUUUUAAUUCUUACAGACAGGAGAUUGACACCAA